UGUACUGACAGUGCUGUCUGUAUACUUUGCGUGUGACAAGGAAGAGCGAGCUACGGUCGUGGUACAGAUUUUCUUCAUUUAUCGACUGAUAGAAAUUUGCAACAUGAAAGCAAUAAGCCCUCAGAGAUCCUUCACAAAAAUGAGCAUCAGUGUCUCGGAUCAAAACCUGGGAAUAUCUCGGAGUAAAACCCCAGUGGACGAUCCCUUGAGUCUGCUGUAUAAUAUGAACGACUGUUACUCCAAACUGAAGGAACUUGUCCCCAGCCUUCCUCCAAACAAAAGCGUUAGUAAGAUCGAAAUCCUGCAGCAUGUCAUCGACUACAUCCUGGACCUUCAGAUUGCACUUGACACCCAUUCCGCGAUAGAAAGUCUACAGCACCAGCAGCGCCUGGGGCAGGCUACACCCCGCACUCCCCUGUCAACCCUCAACACAGACCUGAACAGUCAUCCGUUGCAGCCUCCGGAGAUCUCCACGGAAUUAAACAAAGAUGACAGGAAGACGCUAUUUCGUUAAAAUUGUGUUUGGUUUGGACUAAAAAUGGACCUGACAUGUUCUUCAUUUUUGAUCUAGUUUCUGCACUUCGUCCUAAAUCGACUUCAGUUUUUUUUCUAUUUUUUUCCAUAACAUGCCGUCUAUGUGGUGUGUUAUGUUGUACGGACAGUCACAGCUAUUUAUAUAGUAGCCUAUCUAUGUCCUUUCUUCGAAAGAAAGGAACAAGCUUCUUUUUUCCCGAAAAAGGGAACUCAAAACAACCAAGUCACACAGAAUCACCAUCACAAGAAGUCUUUGCCUCUACAGAAGGUGGAGCGUGAACAAAUGACAACUUUUAUUGCUAAUUUAUAAAGUCUGCCAUAAACUUUACUUGUUUUGUUUAUAAGGGACAUUUUAAUGUGUAUAAAAUCAAUGAACCCUUGUAUAUCUGCAGAAAUUCUGGGCUGAAAAUGUAAUGCUGUACAUAGACAUGAUGAAACUUUUUAUAAAAGUUGUAUUGUAAAUUGUACCUUUUAUAGAAAAUAAAUAUAAUGCUUUAUUUGAGUAUCAAGGA